AUCUAAAACAUAAGGACAACCUAUGAAAUUAAAAUAAUAUAGAGAAGAUUAGCAUGGUCCCAGCAUAAGGAUGAAGCGCCAGAAUUCAUGAUGAUCACACAUGAA